rnacentral:other from 1 species
CAUACCCUGCUGUGUGCGUGAUGGGUAUCAAGCGUUGAGCCAACGUCUACUAUACUGGGAAGUGGCUUACGGUGAGGCAAUGUAGUAGCCUUCGGGCGAGGCAGAACCCUCACGACAACAUAUUCCCACCUGCGUUAGCAGGUUCAACCAAGAAGCCCACACGGCACGGCGGGGUGCCC